rnacentral:rRNA from 1 species
UACAGAGGGUGCAAGCGUUGUUCGGAAUCAUUGGGCGUAAAGGGCGUGUAGGCGGUCUGUUAAGUCAUGUGUGAAAUCCCUCGGCUCAACCGGGGAACGACGCAUGAAACUGACAAGCUAGAGUACCAAAGAGGGGGGUGGAAUUCCUGGUGUAGCGGUGAAAUGCGCAGAUAUCAGGAGGAACACCGAUGGCGAAGGCAGGUCUCUGGGCCACUACUGACGCUGAGAAGCGAAAGCAUGGGGAGCGAACAGG